AGUGAACGCUGGCGGCAGGCCUAAUACAUGCAAGUCGAACGGCAGCACAGCAGAGCUUGCUCUGUGGGUGGCGAGUGGCGGACGGGUGAGGAAUACAUGGGAAUCUGCCCAGUCGUGGGGGAUAACGUAGGGAAACUUACGCUAAUACCGCAUGCGCCCUUCGGGGGAAAGCCGGGGACCUUCGGGCCUGGCGCGAUUGGAUGAGCCCAUGUCGGAUUAGCUAGUUGGCGGGGUAAAGGCCCACCAAGGCGACGAUCCGUAGCUGGUCUGAGGGGAUGAUCAGCCACACUGGAACUGAGACACGGUCCAGAUUCCUACGGGAGGCAGCAGUAGGGAAUAUUGGACAAUGGGCGCAAGCCUGAUCCAGCCAUGCCGCGUGAGUGAAGAAGGCCUUCGGGUUGUAAAGCUCUUUUGUCCGGAAAGAAAAGCAUCCAGUUAAUACCUGGGUGUCCUGACGGUACCGGAAGAAUAAGCACCGGCUAACUUCGUGCCAGCAGCCGCCGUAAGAC
rnacentral:rRNA from 1 species